rnacentral:rRNA from 1 species
AUUGAACGCUGGCGGCAGGCCUAACACAUGCAAGUCGAACGGUAACAGGAAGAAGCUUGCUUCUUUGCUGACGAGUGGCGGACGUGUGAGUAAUGUCUGGGAAACUGCCUGAUGGAGGGGGAUAACUACUGGAAACGGUAGCUACUACCGCAUAACGUCGCAAGCCCAAAGAGGGUGACCUUCGGGCCUCUUGCCAUCGGCUGUGCCCAGAUGGGAUUAGCUAGUAGGUGGGGUAACGGCUCACCUAGGCGACGAUCCCUAGCUGGUCUGAGAGGAUGACCAGCCACACUGGAACUGAGACACGGUCCAGACUCCUACGGGAGGCAGCAGUGGGGAAUAUUGCACAAUGGGCGCAAGCCUGAUGCAGCCAUGCCGCGUGUAUGAAGAAGGCCUUCGGGUUGUAAAGUACUUUCAGCGGGGAGGAAGGGAGUAAAGUUAAUACCUUGACUCAUUGACGUUACCCGCAGAAGAAGCACCGGCUAACUCCGUG